CCUACGGGUGGCUGCAGUGGGGAAUAUUGGACAAUGGGCGCAAGCCUGAUCCAGCCAUGCCGCGUGUGUGAAGAAGGCCUUCGGGUUGUAAAGCACUUUAAGCGAGGAGGAAGGUCUUUGAACUAAUAUUUCAAAGAAUUGACGUUACUCGCAGAAUAAGCACCGGCUAACUCUGUGCCAGCAGCCGCGGUAAUACAGAGGGUGCAAGCGUUAAUCGGAAUUACUGGGCGUAAAGCGCGCGUAGGCGGUAUGUUAAGUCGGAUGUGAAAUCCCUGGGCUCAACCUAGGCAUUGCAUCCGAUACUGGCACACUAGAGUGUGGGAGAGGAAGGUAGAAUUCCAGGUGUAGCGGUGAAAUGCGUAGAGAUCUGGAGGAAUACCGAUGGCGAAGGCAGCCUUCUGGCCUAACACUGACGCUGAGGUGCGAAAGCGUGGGGAGCAAACAGGAUUAGAUACCCCGGUAGUC
rnacentral:rRNA from 1 species